rnacentral:rRNA from 1 species
AUAAGUCGACCUGAUGGGAUCAACAUCCCUGACGACAAGUUCUACCUUGGAGAUGCUGGCUAUGCAUGUCGGCCGGGUAUUCUCCCGUUCAGGAAAACCUGGUACCAUCUCAACGAGUUCUCUGGCAGGAACCAUCCUAGGACUGCACAAGAGUUGUUUAAUAUCAAACACUCCAACCUUAGAGUAACCGUUGAGAGGGCAUUCAGAGCUCUAAAGAAUAAGUUUAAGAUCCUGGAUCAGAAGCCAUUCCACUCAUAAUCCACUCAGGUUAAGCUUGUUCUUGCUUGUUGCAUUCUGCAUAACUGGAUCCUUCAGUGGGGCUUUGAUGAACACGUGCCUGAGGAGGAAGAGGUCGAGCCUGACGAUGUUGUUAGCUCCGGCCAUGGUGUGUAGGCAUUUGACAAUGACGCUUGGAAGAACAAAAGGUUGGAGUGGGCAGAGGCAAUGUGGCUUAACAAAGGUCAGUGUAGGAUUUGA